rnacentral:rRNA from 1 species
GACGAACGCNGGCGGCGUGCCUAAUACAUGCAAGUAGAACGCACAGUUUAUACCGUAGCUUGCUACACCAUAGACUGUGAGUUGCGAACGGGUGAGUAACGCGUAGGUAACCUGCCUGGUAGCGGGGGAUAACUAUUGGAAACGAUAGCUAAUACCGCAUAAUAUUAAUUAUUGCAUGAUAAUUGAUUGAAAGGUGCAAUUGCACCACUACCAGAUGGACCUGCGUUGUAUUAGCUAGUAGGUGAGGUAACGGCUCACCUAGGCGACGAUACAUAGCCGACCUGAGAGGGUGAUCGGCCACACUGGGACUGAGACACGGCCCAGACUCCUACGGGAGGCAGCAGUAGGGAAACUUCGGCAAUGGACGAAAGUCUGACCGAGCAACGCCGCGUGAGUGAAGAAGGUUUUCGGAUCG